CAAAAACCCAACCAUCACAUCAAACAACAGAGCUCAUUUUAAUCAAUUCAAACAAUAAAUUAAAUUUAAAUUAAAUUAAAUUGAGUAAACAUCAGAACCAUCACUUUGAUAACAUUGAUGAUUUU